rnacentral:lncRNA from 1 species
GGAUAAAUGGCUUUGUUUUUUCCUUAGUGAUCCAGAAGUUAUGAGACUGUGAGCAUGGAUAUUCACCUUGUAUGUCAAUACCAUGUGUGUUUUAAAAUGAGCUCAAAGGGAAGAGAGAACUACAAAUUUCAGACUGGUCAGAAAAAACCAUCUACUUCUGUAACAGCUACUUGAUAUUCUCCUUGCAAAAUUUUGCCUUUCUGGCCUUGGCCCCAUCAUGCUUGUGAUUACGUGGGCUGGAAAUAAGGCAGCCUGGGCUUCCUAAAGUACAGGGGAAUGUGUGCAUGAGUCUGUUCGCUGUAUGUGCAGUGUUCCAAGUUCUUAUCCCUCUCCUUUUUGUUCUUGUCCCUAGUCACUGCCUCCAGGGUACCAGCUUUCCUUAGCCCCGCUCCCAUGGCAACAAGUCUCUGUUCCAGCAGUAGUGGCUCUGUCUCUUCAUCUCCUCCCUCUGCAGCUACGUUCUGCGCUUAGAAGUAGCUUGAGUUUCUGUGACUACUUUCUUUCCUUUAUUUAUCAGGACAUGUGUGCUUGUUCCAAAGCUCCUACUGUGCAUAUAUUGAUUCUGGGGAAGUUCUGUUUUUGCCUUUGUGUGAGUUGGGGUCCAGCUGUCUGGAAAGCAGCUCUGCAGAGAAAGACACCAGGAUUCUGGUGGCGGCAAGCUGAAGGAGAAUGAAGAAGAAUCAGAAUGAAAAGACAAAGGACAAUGAUAAAAAGUUGCAUCAGUCCUGCAAUGCAAUGAAAAAAUGUUGCUUGGUUCUCA